UACGUAGGGGGCAAGCGUUAUCCGGAUUUACUGGGUGUAAAGGGAGCGUAGACGGCAAGACAAGCCAGAUGUGAAAGGCAGGGGCUCAACCCCUGGACUGCAUUUGGAACUGCCUGGCUAGAGUGUCGGAGAGGUAAGUGGAAUUCCUAGUGUAGCGGUGAAAUGCGUAGAUAUUAGGAGGAACACCAGUGGCGAAGGCGGCUUACUGGACGACAACUGACGUUGAGGCUCGAAAGCGUGGGGAGCAAACAGGAUUAGAUACCCUGGUAGUCCACGCGGUAAACGAUGAAUACUAGGUGUCGGGGACCACACGGUGUCCGGUGCCGCAGCAAACGCAAUAAGUAUUCCACCUGGGGAGUACGUUCGCAAGAAUGAA
rnacentral:rRNA from 1 species